AUUACCCGCUGAACUUAAGCAUAUCAAUAAGCGGAGGAAAAGAAACCAACAGGGAUUGCCUUAGUAGCGGCGAGUGAAGCGGCAAAAGCUCAAAUUUGAAAUCUGGUACUUUCAGUAUCCGAGUUGUAAUUUGAAGAAAGUUAUCUUGGAGUUGGCCCUUGUCUAUGUUCCUUGGAACAGGACGUCACAGAGGGUGAGAAUCCCGUGCGAUGGGGUGCCCAUUCUAUGUAAGAUACUUUCGACGAGUCGAGUUGUUUGGGAAUGCAGCUCUAAGUGGGUGGUAAAUUCCAUCUAAAGCUAAAUAUUGGCGAGAGACCGAUAGCGAACAAGUACAGUGAUGGAAAGAUGAAAAGAACUUUGAAAAGAGAGUG
rnacentral:rRNA from 1 species